rnacentral:rRNA from 1 species
UACGUAGGUGGCAAGCGUUGUUCGGAAUUAUUGGGCGUAAAGGGCGCGUAGGCGGCUUGUUAAGUCGGCUGUGAAAGCCCGGGGCUCAACCCCGGAGGGUCAGCCGAUACUGGCAGGCUAGAGUACGGAAGAGGUAGCUGGAAUUCCCGGUGUAGCGGUGAAAUGCGUAGAUAUCGGGAGGAACAUCAGUGGCGAAGGCGGCUUUCUGGACUAAUACUGACACUGAGGCGCGAAAGCGUGGGUAGCAAACAGG